GUAGGGAAUAUUGGGCAAUGGAUGCAAGUCUGACCCAGCCAUCCCGCGUGCCGGAAGGAGGCCCUCAGGGUUGUAAACGGCUUUUGACGGUGAAGAAUCGACAGGAUGCGUCCUGUUUUGACGGUAGCCGUUGAAUAAGCACCGGCUAACUCCGUGCCAGCAGCCGCGGUAAUACGGAGGGUGCGAGCGUUGUCCGGAUUUAUUGGGUUUAAAGGGUGCGUAGGCUGGAAGGUCAGUCAGCGGUGAAAAGCUGUCGCUUAACGAUAGUCUUGCCGCAGAUACUUCCUUUCUUGGAUGAGGAGGAGGCCACUGGAACGGAUGGUGUAGCGGUGAAAUGCAUAGAUAUCAUCCAGAACACCGAUUGCGAAGGCAGGUGGCUGUACCUUAAUCGACGCUGAUGCACGAAAGCAUGGGGAGCAAACAGGAUUAGAAACCCGUGUAGUCC
rnacentral:rRNA from 1 species